GAAAUUAAACGAUAGUACUUUCAUUCAAAUUAAUGGUAAAGUCAAACUUGCAAACUAAAAGUUUCCAUGACUAAUUUUCAAAAUUUGAAACAUAGCAUUAUAGCUUGAUGUGUAUUUGAUUUAUCAACUAAAAAACAAUCCCUAACAAUUAAGGGAACUUUAACGAAAAGCUCAUGGUACUGUUCAUUUCAACGAAAAACCACAUUUUUACACUAAAAAGUUAAUUAUGAUACCAUUCACUUUACCCUUUAUUUUGUCCUUAUAGUUAAAACUCAAAGUUUUCAAGCCCCAAUUAACCAAAGAAAAAUUCUCUAACAUUUAGCUAAAACAUACCCUCAUAUCAACGUGAAUCAAUAUUCAUAAAUAAAUAAAAAAUGCAACAAUUUAUUAUGAAUUUUUUUUAUAGUUAGUGUUCAUUUAGAAAUGUGAUUGUGUAAACUAGAAAUCGGAAUUCCAUCGGAUUUGGGAGAUCGAAUCCUUUACAACUUGUAUUACUUGUAAGACAAGUAAAGCCCAUCGUGAUUAGUACAAAUAAAGGCACAACAUUAGGGGAUGAAAACGCAAUUUCACAAACACAUGAGCCAUUUUAUCUGACACACCCCGAGGCAUGCUGGCCGUCACGUGAGAGUGAAGUAACCAUGUGCACAGUGCGGAAGCAAUAAUGAUAUGAAGAAAUACGAGUGAAUAAAAACCAAACUACUAAAAGUACUAGCUAAGAUAAGGUGUUAGUGCGAGAUUAAGUGUGAAAUACACAAUUAGAGCAUAAGUAGCCUAAGUACAAUCCGACUGGACAAGUACUAAUUAUACAACACCCAAAGGUGAUCCUACAUUUAUGAUGUUCUGUCAGAACCACCGUCGAAAUCAUCGUGAGCCACCAAAGCA
rnacentral:lncRNA from 1 species